CUCGCAGCGAGCAUCGAUCCAGCGCCACCUCGAGUCGUCAUCUCAACCUGGAACACGAAAAAGUGCUCGGGCACAUUUGAAAGCGGGCAGCCGAGCCUUGUUUUCCGGGUAAGCUCUGCCAUGAGCUGGGAGGGUGUUGAAGUGGGCAGACUUGAAAUUCACUUGGGACAGCUGCGACAGUGGCACAAAAAGUUACAACUUAAAAGUAUAUCUGCGAACAAGACGACAAGUAGAGAAACUAAGCGCUCAUCUCCAUCUCAAGCUCAAUUGCCGUCAACAAGUCAGGGUCUGAGCCGUCGUUAACGUCCACCGUCGCCACCUUCAUCAUUAUCAGACUAGUUUUCCUGAUGCUUGUUGCGAGACACAGCCAAAGAAGGGAAUAUAGGCGGCCAUCGCCGUGUCGCUGUACCUGAUGACUACGUAGGUGAGUCUGAGGCGGGAUUGCAUGAAAUAUGUGUGUGUGAGUGUGUGUAUGUGUGUGCGAGGGUAAGAGGGGUUCACAGCUCGGUGUCUGCAGUCUUGGUGGCGGAGUGGCCGUUGGUGGGAGGAGGCUCGGUCUUGGCAGCUUCAAGAGACUCUCCGUUCACAUUAGGUUUCUCCUGGGUUUCUGUCGGGGGGCUAAGUGGAGCCACGGACACGAGGGUGUUCCCCUGGUUCUCCUGAUCCACUGGAUACGCCUCUUCUGCCUGCA